AAUCAACGAUGUCAAAGGUGUGGGUUUAGAAUUUCGAAAAAAGAUGCUAAUAUGGAACUGCCAAACAAUCUGAUCAGCACCAAACCUGCUGCAGCUGCAUCGGAAAGCAAUACCUGCCUGAUAUGAUGCCAAUCACUUGCAGAUGACCAAGAUCAUGUUAAGUUACGCCAGAAAGGGAGUGAUAGCAUAAAUGCUGCCAGCAAAGUUCGCUUGGACAAUAUUACUUCCCUACCCGGACAGACAGUUCAUAUGUACAUUGUCGGAAAGAUUAUUGUAACCCAAUUCGA